GCGCCGCCCAACUCAAGCAUAAAACUCAGCCGCGCCCAUCUUCUGCUCGCACGGACCGCGCCUCCUUCCCCCUGCUGUAGCUCGCGCCCUGCUCUUCUGCUCGUUUCUUCUCGCGCGAAGCUCCCUCCCAUGGCGUCAAUCUCGCUGUUCGGCAGUUCUCUGGAAGCCGUACCCUGCUCGCCCAGCUCGCGAAACCCUCUGCGCGCGGACCUCUCUCAUCCCCAUGGCGUCUUCCCCUGCUGGUUCGCCGGCGCCCGAGCUCCCUCUGCCCGUCAAUUGCCUCAGCCCGGGAGUUCGUCUGCUUUCCCCGCUCGUCCUUCCCUCAAAAUCGCCUGACCGCGCGACCUCCAUGGAGCUCCCUUCAGUUCUUCGCAAUUCGUGGCCGCGUCCCUCAGCUCGCUCUCCCAUGCCGCACCCAGCCCCUGCUCUGCUCGCCGUGGAGCUCGCCUCCGACCCCUGCUUGCCGCGUUCCUGCGCGCCGUCGCCUUGCUGCGUGCGUCGUGGUUUUCUUCCUCUGCGCGCCAGGCUGUUCCGGAGCUUCCUUUGCUCCAUUCCUUGGUUGCGUGUCGAGCCCCUCGCGCAGGCCGCGAGCUGUCUGUUCGCCGUAGUCGGAGCCGUUCUCAGUUGCUCGCCGUCGAAGCUCCCCUGUUGGCUGCGUCCUGCAUGUCCUGCAUGCGCUCACUCCUCAUCCAUCGGUUUCUGGCGGGUUUACCUUUAGCGUCGAGUCGUCAAACCCGUCAUCCUCUGCUCAAACCCACCUCGUCAGCUCGCUCCAGACAUAAUCCUGUCGUCGUUCUGUGCGUCGGGUGAAUACGAAGCUAGCCGAGUAAUAUUCAUCGAGUGCGUGACCAAAAAGCUCGAACCAGUCGUCAAUCGUCUCAACAACAACCGUAUCCACGACUCCCACCGUUCCAAUAAUUUUGCCGCAUCGCCCUUCAAAUCCGAGACCUCGUCCGUAGGAUCGUCGUUGACCUCGCAACUUCAGCUCGAGUUAAUUAUGGACGAUAAAUAAUCGCGUGAUGCGGAAAAGAUGACCCAAGUCGACCCCAAGCGCGGGCUAAUCUGCAAGCUGAAGCUGAUGAAUCAAUCUGAAGAUGGUUAAAUCAAACAAGUGCUCGGUCGAAGAAUACUCGUCAAGCGGACAUCACCUAACAACACUAACCUAGUGUUACUCAGGCAAGCCCCGGUGCAUGCAACCCCUUUCCUUGUGUUUUUAAAUAAUUUUCGCCCACUUUAAGUCUAGUGAAAUGUGCAUUAGGUUCAUAGGAGUUGCUUGAAACCCUUUGAUGCAUUGCUUUCCUUGAUAUUCAUACCUUUAUAGAUACUUCUGUGAAGUAUCAAACUAUGAUUUACAAAAAUGCUUAGCCUUGCUUAGAUCUUGUGGAUAGAGGUUGUCCUCAGUCUAACCCGGGAGAGGAUGGCUUCUACCUGCAAGAAUAUUUUCAUUCGGAGCAAUAGUGGGAUCUUACUGCAAAGUUCCCUGUGAUGCUCUUUCAAUCCUAAGGAACAGACACAAUCCUAAGGAUGGAAAUAAUUAAAUUGAGACUUGGGUUAGGAACAGGUGAUGUUCUACCCAGGUUGGUUAAGGAUUAAUGCGUAUGUAGGCGUGCUGACCGAGGACCCUUUAACUGGUCACAUGCCUCGUCAUGGGUAAGCCUUGCCUCGGGCAGACUAAGGCCAGAAUAAGAUAACACGAAAUGGGCGUGGAGCGGUGGCGAGAGUAGUGUGUACCCUCCGUGGCAAGAGGCUGGACGGUGGUGUAUCUGUGCUCUCGGUUUGCGUGAACCUGAUCUGGUCUUAAGAACCCCGGUGGCGGGUUAACAUAUGCAAGGGUUAAGUGCUACAUAUGUCGUGUGAUUGGAGAUCCUGAGCUGAGUAUAAUCGAUUCGGAUCGCCGUACCUUCGCGGUUAUGAAGACUUGGUCACUUUUCUACAACCUAAAGUCAGGAUGUGAACACUAUGGAUAAAAAUGAUGUUGUAUUGAUGAGAUGUUGAAAUUAGACUAGAUGCAAAUAGAGUCUAUUAAUACUUAAUAUGGCGUUAAAAGAUUGAAAGUAAGGACUCACUUUAGUAAGCUACUUCUGCAAAAAUAUAAGUUGAUUUUUGCUAAAGCCUCUCCUUGACUCCUAUUUAUCCAGCAUACCCUUGAGAGUCUUUUCUUUAGUCGGGUAAGACUUGCUGAGUAAUUCCAUACUCAGGGUUUUAUUCUCUGGAACAUUGCUAGGAUGCCAUCACGUCAAGGGCCCACGAUGAGUUGUAGACAUUGUUACACAUAUCUAAUCGUUCAGCUUGGG